GGGCCUACGGGAGGCAGCAGUGGGGAAUAUUGCGCAAUGGGCGAAAGCCUGACGCAGCGACGCCGCGUGAGGGAUGAAGGUUUUCGGAUCGUAAACCUCUGUCAGAAGGGAAGAAACUACGUUGUGCUAAUCAGCAGCGUA
rnacentral:rRNA from 1 species